rnacentral:rRNA from 1 species
UACGUAGGGGGCAAGCGUUGUCCGGAAUCAUUGGGCGUAAAGCGCGCGUAGGCGGCCCGGUAAGUCCGUUGUGAAAGUCAAAGGCUCAACCUUUGAACGCCGAUGGAUACUGCCGGGCUAGAGUCCGGAAGAGGCGAGUGGAAUUCCUGGUGUAGCGGUGAAAUGCGCAGAGUAUCGGGAGGAACACCUAUGGCGAAGGCAGCUCGCUGGGACGUUACUGACGCUGAGACGCGAAAGCGUGGGGAGCAAACAGG